AUGGCUGUCGUCAGCUCGUGUCGUGGGAUGUUGGGUUAAGUCCCGUAACGAGCGCAACCCUUGUCCUUAGUCACCAGCACGUUAUGGUGGGCACUCUAAGGAGACUGCCGGUGACAAACCGGAGGAAGGUGGGGAUGACGUCGAGUCAUCAUGGCCCUUACGGCCUGGGCUACACACGUGCUACAAUGGUCGGUACAAAGGGUUGCCAAGCCGCGAGGUGGAGCUAAACCCAUAAAACCGAUCGUAGUCCGGAUCGCAGUCUGCAACUCGACUGCGUGAAGUCGGAAUCACUAGUAAUCGCAGAUCAGCAUGCUGCGGUGAAUACGUUCCCGGGCCUUGUACACACCGCCCGU
rnacentral:rRNA from 1 species